AAAUUGAAGAGUUUGAUCAUGGCUCAGGAUUGAACGCUGGCGGCAGCCUAACAAUAUGCAAAGUCGAAUGGUAACAGGAAGCAGCUUGCUGCUUUGCUGACGAGUGGCGGACGGGUGAGUAAUGUCUGGGAAACUGCCUGAUGGAGGGGGGAUAACUACUGGAAAACGGUGGCUAAUACCGCAUAACGUCGCAGCAUCAAAGAGGGGACCUUCGGGCCUUCUUGCCAUCAGAUGUGCCCAGAGCGGAUUAGCUUGUUGGUGAGGUAACGCGGCUCACCAAGCGACGAUCCUCAGCUGGUCUGGAGAGAUGACCAGCCACACACCGGAACCGAGACACGGUCCAGACUCCCUACGGGAGGCAAGGCAGUGGGGAAUAUUGCAACAAUGGGGCAAGCCCGCAGCCAUGCCGUGCGUGUAUGAAGAAGGCCUCGGGUUGUAAAAAGCACUUCUUUCAGCGGGAGUGGUUGCGUUGUGGUUACCAACCGCAGCACUGACGUUACCGUACCCGCAGAAGAAGCACCGGCUAACUCCGUGCCAGCAGCCGCGGUAAUACGGAGGGUGCAAGCGUUAAUCGGAAUUACCGGGCGUAAAGCGCAAUUCCAGGCGGGUUCGUCGUCGGAUGUGAAAUCCCGGGCUCAACCUCGGGAACUGCAUUCGAAACUGGCAGGCUUUAUCUUGUAGAGGGGUAGAAUUCCGUGUGUAGCGGUGAAAUGCGUAGAGAUCUGGAGGAAUACCGGUGGCGAAGGCGGCCCCCCGACAAAGACUGACGCUCAGGUGCGAAAAGCGUGGGGAGCAAACAGGAUUAGAUGUACCCUCGGUAGUCCACGCCGUAAACGAGUGCCUACUUGAGUAAGUUGUGCCCUUUGAGGCGUGGCUUCCGGAGCUAACGCGUUAAGUAGACCGCCUCGAAAGUACGGGUCGCAAGGUUAAAACUCAAAUGAAUGCUGGACGGGGCCCGCACAAGCGGUGGAGCAUGCGGUUAAUUCGAUGCAACGCGAAGAACUUACCGUCUUGACAUCCACGGAAGAACUUUCAGAGAUGGAUUUUGUGCCUUCGGGAACCGUGAGACAGGUGCCGUACGGCUGUCGUCAGCUCGUGUUGUGAAAUGUUGGGUUAAGUCCCGCAACGAAGCGCAACCUAUCCUUUGUUGCCAGCGGUCCGGCCGGGAACUCAAAGGAGACCGCCAGUGAUAACCGGAGGAAGGUGGGGAUGACGUCAAGUCGUCAUGGCCCCAUGACCGUGGUAUUACACACGUUCGCCAAUGGCGCAUACAAAGAGAAGCGACCCUCGCGAGAGAGCAAGCGACCUCAUAAAGUGCGUCGUAGGUCCGAUUGAGUUCGCAACUCGACUCCAUGAAGUCGGAAUCGCUAGUAAUCGUGAUUCCAGAAUGCCACGGUGAAUACGUUCCCGGCCUUGUACACACCGCCCGUCGCCACCGGCUACGGGGAGUGGCGCUGCGUAAAAGAAGUAGGUAGCUUAACCUGGGAGGGCGCGCUACCACUUCUUGUGAUUCAUGACUUGCCGUAACAAGGUAACCGUAGGGGAACCUGCGGUUGAUCACUUCCCAC
rnacentral:rRNA from 1 species